CCAGCUUCUGAGGGAAAUAUCUGAGUGUUCGGCUGCUAAAUGCUGAGCAGAGCACCUGCAGCGGGAGCGUUUGCUUAAACAAUCGUCCUCAGAGGUGAGCGCUGAAGGAAAAACACAGAUGCUGCUCUCAUGAUGUGAUUCAAACAGUCGGAGGAGGAGGCGGCCUGGUAACGAGCCGUAGACCUACCAUGAUCUGCACUGGGUGAGUUCUUUGAAUAGUUUCUUUAACUUUGUCCACCUCCUGUAAAAACAGUUCUUUUCCUUUUCCUGAGAACUUCCUGUCUACUUGCACAAUGUGGCCGCACUCAGCUGCCCAGGUCAUUUGUUUACCAUUUGCAAAUAUCACCGUACGAAUGAGGAAGUUCU